CUAGCUGACCAAAUCAAUACCAUUCAAGAACAGAUCACUUCAUUAGCAGGCAUAGUCUUACAAAACCAAUGAGCUUUAGAUUCUUUCAUGACCAAUCAAGAGGUAAUUUGCAUAAUGCUUAAUGAAGACUACUGGUUUUUUGGCAACCAAUCAGGUAAAGUACAAACCAACUUAAAAACCAUUACAGACAAGGUCAAAAAUUUAUGGAGGAAGGAUUUUUGGGAAGCUUUGACUGAUGAAACUUCAACAUCUGGUCCUCAUUUUGCUAGUUAACCCCCUUUCUCAGUCCUAUAGUAGUCUUUUUACUACUUGUAGUUUUUAGGCCAUACUUAUUUAAUUUAUGAAUUUGUUUUGUUUCUUCCAGUCUAGAAUCCAAAAAACUCCAAAUACUCCUACAAGGUUACCAU
rnacentral:lncRNA from 1 species